rnacentral:rRNA from 1 species
AAUUGGAGGGCAAGUCUGGUGCCAGCAGCCGCGGUAAUUCCAGCUCCAAUAGCGUAUAUUAAAGUUGUUGCAGUUAAAAAGCUCGUAGUUGAAUUUCGGGGUUAGUACGCCGGUCGUGCCUUCGGUACGUACUGGUGUUACUGAUUCCUACCUUCUGAAGAACCGUCAUGUCAUUAAUUUGGUGUGGCGGGGAAUCAGGACUGUUACUUUGAAAAAAUUAGAGUGUUUAAAGCAGGCUCGCGCUUGAAUACAUUAGCAUGGAAUAAUGAAAUAGGACGUUUGAUCCUAUUUUGUUGGUUUCUAGGAUUGACGUAAUGAUUAAUAGGGAUAGUUGGGGGCAUUAGUAUUCAAUUGUCAGAGGUGAAAUUCUUGGAUUUAUUGAAGACUAACUACUGCGAAAGCAUUUGCCAAGGGUGUUCUCAUUAAUCAAGAACGAAAGUUAGGGGAUCGAAGACGAUCAGAUACCGUCGUAGUCUUAACCAUAAACUAUGCCGACUAGGGAUCGGAUGAUGUUAAUUUUUUAAUGACUCAUUCGGCGCCUUACGGGAAACCAAAGUGU